UGCUCCGCGGCGGCCGAGGCGGCGUAGGAGCUGCGGGACGCGGUGGCGGCCCUCGCCGUGCGCCGCGCCGCCGACGAGAAUGCGCUGCGGCGCCGCGCCGUCGCGCUGGACGCCGACGUCCGCCGCCUACAGGGCUCCCUCGCCCCCCUCGACCCCGCCACGCUCGACGAGGUCCGCGCCCCUCCCCCCUCCCUCUCUCCCUCUCCCUCUCUCUCUGCCUGA
rnacentral:rRNA from 1 species